CAGUUUCCAGGGUGCCGGCAGGUCUCCUGGGAAUCCCCAGUCAGUGCAGGAUCCGACCCAGCAGGCUGCUCUGGAAUGGAUGAACAGGGACCUCUGUGUCCGCCUUGCCCAAAUGGCAACCUGCCAAUGCUGGCCAGUGUUCAACAUCUAGCCCACCCUCCCCUGGUUCCUCCCUGACAGGUACUCACCACUCUGCCAUUUGCCACCCUCAGAGAGAUGGCUCCUCACUUUCCCUUCCUUCUCAGCUUACCUUCUUCCCAGAUCCAAGCAGAAAGGGUGCUGCCUGCUGGGUCCUGUUGGACCAGGUUCAUCCCCUCCCUACCAGGCCCGCAGGCCCAGGCCAGGACUUCACUCCAAGUCUUGGGGGAGCAGACGAGACUCACAGGAGAGGACGAGAUUCACUCAGAGUGGUGACACCUGCCCCACAUUCCUGCUGCAUCACCACCGUGUGGAAAUUCAAGGUGAAAAUAGAGGCUUUGAUUGAAAUUCUUCUGGGAGUAAAAUUGGAACUGAGCUGAGAAGAGCUAGCCAAGAAGAGCCUGUCACCUUGCUUACCAGAAUCCAAAGACCUCCAUGAAAGUUGAGGAAGCUGCCUCCAUUGGCAGGACUGGAAAAACCCUGGAGAAAGCUCUGGGACCCUUGAGAAGAAAUCUCAGGUGAAGUCUGCUGUGUAAUGGGAAUCUCCUAAGUACCACAAAAUGGGGCCAAGAGACAAGUUCCCCCACCUGAAGCUGAAGUAUGUGCUGGACUGUCCUCCAGGAAUGUAAGGUGGGUCCAUCCCCACAUACGCACGGCCCAUAACAGGAACAUGUUAAAGGUGCUGUGAUCUGGACCUCGUCCUGGAGUGGUUACCUGAGGGUUCUGAAAGGAUAACUCAGAAAACCAGAGCAGUAGAUAUAAUCUACGAGGCUUUCCAUGAAAACCAGCAUCUGCUCAUCAUCAGUACACUCUACCUAUAGACCAGAGAGAGAGAUUUGAGAAAGAUGAAAAGUUAAAUAGAAAGCAGGCCAGUAAAUCCAGAAAAGAAAAAAAAUUAUCAUAUAAGGAAAAGAUAGCCAAGGUCAACAAUUUUCUGGAGCACAAGGACCACAGGGAAAGCUUUUGGUACGGGACCUGGCAAGAGCCGUGCAUAUCGUUGGA